CCUACGGGAGGCAGCAGUAGGGAAUUUUCGGCAAUGGGGGGAACCCUGACCGAGCAACGCCGCGUGAACGAAGAAGUUAUUCGUAAUGUAAAGUUCUUUUAACAGGGAAGAAAGAGAACUUUGACGGUACCUGAAGAAUAAGCUCCGGCUAACUACGUGCCAGCAGCCGCGGUAAUACGAGGGGAGCGAGCGUUAUCCGGAAUUAUUGGGCGAAAGGGGUGAGUAGAGGGCAUAGUAAGUCUUUUGUAAAAAUGCUGGGUUCAACCCAGUAGGGAAAAAGAUACUGCAAAGCUAGAGUAUGACAGAGGCAAGUGGAACUACAGGUGUAGCGGUAAAAUGCGUAAAUAUAUGUAAGAACACCAGUGGCGAAGGCGGCUUGCUGGGUCGAUACUGACAUUGAGGCACGAAAGCGUGGGGAGCAAACAGGAUUAGAUACCCCAGUAGUC
rnacentral:rRNA from 1 species